rnacentral:rRNA from 1 species
GGGUAACGGCCCACCAAGGCGACGAUGACUAGGGGAUCUGAGAGGAUGACCCCCCACACUGGUACUGAGACACGGACCAGACUCCUACGGGAGGCAGCAGUAAGGAAUAUUGGUCAAUGGAGGCAACUCUGAACCAGCCAUGCCGCGUGCAGGAAGACAGCCCUCUGGGUCGUAAACUGCUCUUAUUCGGGAAUAAACCACAUUACGUGUAAUGUGCUGAAUGUACCGAAGGAAUAAGGAUCGGCUAACUCCGUGCCAGCAGCCGCGGUAAUACGGAGGAUCCAAGCGUUAUCCGGAUUUAUUGGGUUUAAAGGGUGCGUAGGCGGCUUAUUAAGUCAGGGGUGAAAGACGGUGGCUCAACCAUCGCAGUGCCUUUGAUACUGAUGAGCUUGAAUACACUAGAGGUAGGCGGAAUGUGACAAGUAGCGGUGAAACGCAUAGAUAUGUCACAGAACACCGAUUGCGAAGGCAGCUUACUAUGGUGUGAUUGACGCUGAGGCACGAAAGCGUGGGGAUCAAACAGGAUUAGAUACCCUGGUAGUCCACGCCCUAAACGAUGAAUACUCGCUGUUAGCGAUAUACAGUUAGCGGCUAAGCGAAAGCGUUAAGUAUUCCACCUGGGGAGUACGCCCGCAAGGGUGAAACUCAAAGGAAUUGACGGGGGCCCGCACAAGCGGAGGAGCAUGUGGUUUAAUUCGAUGAUACGCGAGGAACCUUACCCGGGCUUGAAAGUUAGUGAAUCAUUUAGAGAUAGGUGAGUCCGCAAGGACACGAAACUAGGUGCUGCAUGGCUGUCGUCAGCUCGUGCCGUGAGGUGUUGGGUUAAGUCCCGCAACGAGCGCAACCCCUAUGUUUAGUUGCCAGCACGUUAUGGUGGGGACUCUAAACAGACUGCCUGUGCAAACAGAGAGGAAGGAGGGGACGACGUCAAGUCAUCAUGGCCCUUACGUCCGGGGCUACACACGUGCUACAAUGGAUGGUACAGAGGGCAGCAAGCUGGCAACAGCAAGCGAAUCUCAAAAAGCCAUUCACAGUUCGGAUAGAGGUCUGCAACUCGACCUCUUGAAGUUGGAUUCGCUAGUAAUCGCGUAUCAGCAAUGACGCGGUGAAUACGUUCCCGGGCCUUGUACACACCGCCCGUCAAGCCAUGGAAGUUGGGGGUACCUAAAGUAUGUAACCGUAAGGAGCGUCCUAGGGUAAAACCGAUAACUGGGGCUAAGUCGUAACAAGGUA